AUCACACAUAAGCUUGGUUCCUUCUACCUGUAAAUGACCGAUCUCUUUGAGUAUUCUUCUCAUCCAAACAGCUUGACAUGCACAUGCAGCAGCGGCAACAAACUCCGCUUCUGUAGUUGAUAAGGUGACUAUAGGUUGCUUUCUAGAUGACAAUGCCACUGCUCCUUCACUCAUCAUAAACACAUAGCCUGAAGUACUUUUGUUGUCUUCCAUAUCGCCG
rnacentral:misc_RNA from 1 species